rnacentral:misc_RNA from 1 species
GAUGAAGAACGUAGUGAAAUGCGAUACGUAAUGUGAAUUGCAGAAUUCAGUGAAUCAUCGAGUCUUUGAACGCACAUUGCGCCCCCUGGUAUUCCGGGGGGCAUGCCUGUCCGAGCGUCAUUGCAACCUUCAAGCGCGGCUUGUGUGUUGGGUCUCGUCCCCCGUGGACGGGCCCGAAAGGCAGUGGCGGCGUCCCGACAUGGUGCCCGAGCGUAUGGGAAUCCUCUUCCGCUCGAAUCGGCCCAUGCGGCGCUGGUCGUAACCAAAUUUUUUACCGGUUGACCUCGGAUCAGGUAGGGAUACCCGCUGAACUUAAGCAUAUCAAUAAGCGGAGGA